rnacentral:rRNA from 1 species
GUGAGGAAUUUUCCGCAAUGGGCGAAAGCCUGACGGAGCAAUGCCGCGUGAAGGAUGAAGGCCUAUGGGUUGUAAACUUCUUUUCUCAGAAAAGAAUUAUGACGGUAUCUGAGGAAUAAGCAUCGGCUAACUCUGUGCCAGCAGCCGCGGUAAGACAGAGGAUGCAAGCGUUAUCCGGAAUGAUUGGGCGUAAAGCGUCUGUAGGUUGUUUAAAAAGUAUUCUGUCAAAGAUUAGGGCUUAACCCUAGAUAGGCAGAAUAAACUUUUAAGCUAGAGUUUGGUAGAGGCAGAGGGAAUUCCCGGGGGAGCGGUGAAAUGCGUAGAUAUCGGGAGGAACACCAAAGGCGAAGGCACUCUGCUGGGCCAAUACUAACACUGAGAGACGAAAGCGAGGGGAGCAAAUGGGAUUAGAAACCCGAGUAGUCC